rnacentral:tRNA from 1 species
AACUUUUAAUAAAAUUAAUAAAUUAAUAUAAAAUA